rnacentral:lncRNA from 1 species
AAAUUACCAAAAGCUUCCGCUUGUAGUGACAAAUUCAAUGGCGGAGGAAGUGAUUUUGUUGGACUUCUGGCCGAGCCCGUUCGGGAUGAGGGCCAGGAUUGCCCUGCGAGAGAAGGGCGUGGAGUUCGAUAUGAGGGAGGAGGAUCUGAGCAACAAGAGCCCCCUGCUCUUGAAGAUGAACCCGGUCAACAAGCAAAUCCCCGUCCUCGUCCAUAAUGGCAAGCCCGUUUGUGAGUCCCUCCUCAUGGUCCAGUACAUCGACGAGACCUGGGUUCGCCAGUCUCCUCUCUUGCCUUCGGAUCCUUACGAGCGUGCCCGGGCCAGGUUCUGGGCUGACUACGUGGACAAGAAGGUAAGACAACAACGUCCUAGUCUUUUUAACAAUUCCUUAUUAACUGCCCUCAACAUCGAGUCACGAAAUGACGGUGCAGAUUUAUCCGGUGGGGCGAACGGUGUGGCAGUCGAGGGGGGAGGCCCAGGAGGCGGCGAAGAAGGAGUACAUCGAGUGCUUGAAGGUGUUGGAGGGAGAACUCGGGGACAAGGCUUACUUUGGCGGUGAGAGGUUCGGGUACGUGGAUGUGUCGCUGAUACCCUUCUAUAGCUGGUUCUAUGGGUUGGAGACGAUGGCCAACUUCAGCAUCGUGGAGGAGUGCCCCAAGCUGGUGGCGUGGGCCAAGCGGUGCAUGCAGAGGGAGAGCGUGGCCAAGUCAUUGCCCGACCAGCACAAGCUUUAUGACUUCCUCUUGGCACGCAUUAAGAAGCUUCAGGCGCAAUAAACAACUCGAGUCUGAUUAUGAUCAUCUUAUGACUCUAUUGUUCAAUAACCCCUCUCCUUUCACGAGGCUGAGCUCUUUUGUACCUCUAUUGCUUUCCUUUUUGUAUUCGAGUGUUUCUGGAUCAGCUUAUGGACUAUACCCAGCAUUUCAUCUAUUCCUUUGAUCUCUUUCUGUCACGUUAGGGAAUAUCUCCUCUGUUUCUAAUAACAAAUCCUCCAAAAGUUAUUUAGCACAUGUUGAAGCAUUCACUCGACAAAUUAGAUGAACUUAACUUUUUAAGCCGUCUGCCCAUGGCUUGGCUAAAAAUAUGCCACGGUCUCUUAUCUCUCUCUCGACAGUGCUUGCACAGACACUCACAGCAUAAAUAAAUAAUAAAAAAUACAUCGAUAAUAGAAGACAAACGAAUGUCAAUUGGACUCCAUCCCAUGGGCGUGCUCUAUGUGGAAAUAUAAAGCAAAGCGAACACUGGAGGAGGUCUGGAUGAUGAUGAUGAAGAUGAUGAGGGAUCUGCGUUGAAACUUGAAGAAUCUCUUUCUUCUUUAAGGAUCAUCGCUAAAGCACUCGUCAAUGGGUGCUUUGCUAAGUGAAGGAAUCUCGGGGGUACAACCUCUGUGAUGAACCCGGUGCGUUGUAUCUUGGCCAUCUACAAAUCAGUCCCCAAUUACGCGAAGUUGAAACAUGAACCCGGUGUAUGAACAAGUUGACGACAAACUCUGCGAGUAUAUAUGAUUAUAAACUCACGCCUCGGAAUCCAGUGAAACUUGAAAACACCAGAACGCCGAAUAAGAUGAAGAAAUUGCAGGCAUUUGCCUCAGAAUAUAUAAUGGACACUAGGAUCUUACAAUGGAGGGAGCUUGUGGAGUGCAUUCUUUCCGUACUAAUUUAGUUCUCAAUUGGUAGCACAUGCAAUUAAUUAGGAGUGAACAUGGUUAUAGGAUAGAAUUUGAAACCUGAUAACCGGACUGGUGAGAGCCUGAAAGUUCUGAGUUUUAAAGCAUGCAAGAUAGAUUUUAAAUUCCAAAAAAUAAGGAACCUGUUUCGAUGGGUAUAUUCCAAAUUCUUAGUUGGAAGAACCUAAAACUUGAAACCUGUAAGUUUGUAACAUAAAACCUGGAACAGGUUUUAAGUUUUUCUUGAUUUAUGUCUUCAUGCAAUUUUGCGAUAUAGUUUGAGCUUUCAUUUUUAUAACUGAGAUUUUUACUUUAUUAAUAUUCAUAUUAUCUAUAUACCUUUAUGAUCAAUGGAUUGUGCAUCAAGUAGUAAUCAUUAAAGGUUUUAAUUCACUGCAACCGUUCAAUUACUAAUAAGUUGAACAUGGAUAAACCCUAAAACCUGUAACAUGGUAGGUUCUAGACUCUAAAGUAUGCAGGAUGGGUUUCAGGUUUCAAGAAAAUGAAAAAUCUGUUUCAAUGAAUAGGCUCCGGAUUCCAAGUGGAACAUGUAUGAAACUUGAAACCGCUCACCCUUGUUAUUAAUGCCUCCCCCGUCAAUUUUGUCUUUUACGAGUUCUUUUACCAUACCUACUCCUAAUGAGCGAAACAUGCAUUUGAUUCUCUCUCCACUUUGUGUAAAUUAGGAGUGCCAACAUGUUUUAUGAAGCUUAUGUGUUGGAUAACUUUUAACAAGCUGAGCAACAUGGAGGUGUAUUUGUUUUAUGCAUGCUUACUCGAGAUAACUAUGCAACAUGAUCGAAGGUGAGGAGACGUGCAUUACAAGUGAAUAAUAGACCUGGGUUUAUUGACGGAUCGCUAGAGAAGCUAGAUCCAAAGGCACCCGAAUUUAAUGUCUAGGACGUUUGUAAUUCCAUGAUAGUUUCAUGGAUCUUCAAUUCCCUUGACAAGAGUUUACAAGGAAGCGUGGCAUAUGGAGAAGAAGCAAAAUUACUAUGGGCCAAGUUGAAGGAGAGAUUCGCUUAAGGUAACGGACCUCACAUCCACAAGGUCAAAACCAAGAUCGAGCUCCUACACCAUGGAGGACUCUCAGUGGUGGAACACUACACCAAAUUGAAAGUCUUAUGGGAUAAACUCAAUGAUUAUGAUGAUGUCAUAUAAUGUUACGUGUGUUGCACCCGCGAGAUACAAGAAGAAGAAGAAGGUGGAGUAUAUCCACCAGUUUCUCAUGGGCCUCAGUACCGAGACCUAUGGGAAUGUUCAUUCUCAAAUUCUCAAACCUCGAGCCACUCUUGUUCCUCAGUAAGGUUUAUUCUAUGAUCACAUAAGAGGAGUGCCAACGAUCAAUUGUUCAAGGGAGGGAAGAGAAGAUCGAGGAUGCUACUUUCUCUAUUGGAAGAACAGCCCCAAGGAAAACGCCAUUUGGGAAAUCUAAAUGUGUGGGAAGAUUAGGCAUGAGAAGAGUCAUUGCUGGGAGUUAGUUGGAUAUCCUCCAAAUUGGGAGCCAAGGCAAGGUGGAAAGGAAACUUUCCACAAUAGCUAUACAUUCUGUAGAGGUAGCAAUGACGGUUCUGACACUAUUGCAGAUACUAGUCAAAGAGGUCUAGAGGGGAGUGAGACAACAUCAACAAUUAGCAAUGAUUAAUAGUAGCAUUUGGUCAAUCUGCUCAUGAGAAGGUGUCGCGACCCUCCUGAAUUUUUUGAAAGUGAAUUACUUAAAGAAGGCUAAUGGAUUACUAAAUCCGAAGACUUGGCACGGACCCUCCCAAGUCCUACCAAUCGUGACUUGAUAUUAAGAAAUUAAUCUAUUUAAACAUGUAAUUAUAUUCAAUUUGGAGCCGCCACUAACCAAUUAGGGUUGAUUAGAAACCCAAGUAAAAUAUGGGAGAAUAGUUUACUUUUGCAAACCAGAGAUUCAGUAGGUCCGGGGACAUGGUUACGCUAGAUUAGUCUAACGCCCUUUCGGUACCUUUUUAUUUUAAUUUUAAAAAUAUUUUGCAGGCAAUGUUGAUUAAUUUAAACUUAAGCUACUAACAUGCAAAUGGUCAUGCGGGUGCACAAUCAAUAAAAUAAUAUUCAAUAAAAAAAUGUUAAUAAAAAUGCAUUGCCUUAAACAUGAUUUCUAAAUGACAUGAUACCUAAUUUUUCUCUUUCUUUUUGAAAAUGUUAAUUAUAUGCAAUCUUAAUUUAAAUUUGAUAUGCAUGAGUUUUACUUUAAUGACAUAUGAGAUGCAAUUCAUGUGGCAUAAUUCAAAUCAUUACAAUAUGUGUGCAAUCUAAUUUACAUAACCCUAAAUAUGCAUAUGUUGUAUGAUAUGAGAUGUAUGACAUGGUAAUUCUAUAUGCAUGUUCUUUUAUGAUUUUUUUUUUUUUAUGAUGAUUCAUUUUUUAAUGCAUAUAUGCAACCUAUGCUAAAUAAUGAUGAUAUGAAAUGAGAUUAAUUAUGAAUUAACCUAUUAACUAACAAGGAAAUGAUCUUUGGUUUUUCUUUCUUUUUUAAUGACAUAAUGUUUUUUAUUGAAAAGAAAGUAACUUAAUGGUGCAAUGAUCAUCUUUUAGCAUUUUCCUUUUUAUUAAAAAAAAAACAAUUAAACUAUAACUCAUAUGGCAUGCAUAACAUUUUUUUUUUCAUCUUUUUGUUUUACUAAAUGAAAAUUGACUUAAUCUAAAAAUAUCUAGGCGUGUUGCUUUGAUAUGAAAUGUGUAUGGACCUAAGUACCUAAGUUCUAGAUAUGACAAUAUUUUACUAAUAAACAAAUUCUAAUUAAACCUAUUAUGCAAAUUAAUUAAUAUGUACCUAAUAUUUUUUGGAUUCUUUUUAUUGAAAUUCGGAAUUAAUAAAAAAAACUAAUUAGACUAACUAAAGUGAAUGAUAUUCUAAUUUAUUUUAGGAAUCAAUUUAACUUAAAGUAUAUCUUAUCUUAAAAGCUAUAUAAAAAAUCAAGACAUGCCAACAUUAUUUAAAAUUAGCCCUAACAAAAAUCACUCAUCUAAAAGUAUAAUCUAAAAAUUAUAAUCCUAUAAAUGCAAUUCUAAUUUACUAACCCUAAAAAUAUAGUCCUAAUUUACUAAACCUAAAUGCUCUAAUGCAAUAUUUAGAUUUUUAUGUACUUUUUCUUUUUCUUUUUUUUGAUUUUUUUAAUCUUUCCAAACAAGUAAUUAUUUUAAAAGAAUGAAGAUAAGAAUUAAAAUAACCGAAAAAAUAAUCCGUUGCCUCACGGAUUAAAUUAACAAUUAUUUUAACUCUAUAAUGAUUUAACGAUUGAAAUACUAUCAAAAUUCCUAAAAAUUAAAGUAAUUAAAAAAAUGACCCGACGUCUUAUGGGUCAAAUUAAUAAUUACCUUAAUUUGGGAUAAAACUCCUAAUGUCUACAAGGUCUACAAAUAUUGACAUACAGUACUACAAUUCAAAUAAUUAAACUUAAAAAUAAGCUAACAUAACAUGAAAUAAGUAAAAAAUAAAAAUAAACUACCUAAGGCUUGGAAAAUGGGAGCAGCAACGGUGGUUCAGUGAUGGGUCGUGGUGGCUAGAGUAAGGCGGUCGUCGGAACUCCGGCGAGGCUCGGGUAGCAACCGAACCUGCAGCAAAACAGGGGAGACAGCAGGUGGCGGAGCUUGGGGCGUUGCAGCGGCGGACACAGGCGGUGCGGGGGCUUCUGGUUCCGGGUGGAUCGCGGACAGGGCAAGGAAAGCUGCGACGUCGCGGGUCGGCACAGCGGUGGCUUCGUCGGGCUGGUGGAACGGCUCCUCAGUAGCGAGCACGGCGAAGAAACUCCGGCGCGGGCGGCGGCGAGGGAACUCAGAGACGGUGAGCUGGCAGCGAAUGGGAUCGAAGACUCGCGGGAUGCAGGCGAGGAGGAGACGCGGCGUCUGGCGGGACUGCAACGGAUGUCGAACGGAGGCGGCUGGCUAAAGGCUCGAGGGUUCGGAGCUCCGGUGAAACACGUCGUCCAGCGACGAGAUGCUGAGGAACAGAUCAGGAGCGGCGUCUCCUGUCGGGCUGCAGUGGUGCGACGAGCAGUAGUGCAGGGUAGUGACCAACGGAGCGCUUCGCUUGUCGGUGCGGUGGCACGGGUGACGACGGGUGACGAGCCGGGGGGCGAUCGGUGGCCGGCGCGAACAGUAACGGCAGAGGAGCUUGCGUAUGCGGGAGGUCGAGUAGCAGCGGCGAAGAAGACGAUAUGUUCUUCCUCUGCUUCUGUUUUUGCUUCUUCUUUUUUUUUUCUUUUGUCUUUUUCUCUCUUUCCCUCACACGUCUCACUCACCUGUCUCUCUCUCUCUCUCUUUUACUGUGCUCUGCUGCACUUUUCAGCGGACGAAAAAGUGCUUCCUCCUGCUGACUUCGAAACUAGCAGCAAGAAAACCCAAAAAGAACUUCUCUUGCUGCCUUCACUUUUUUACUUUUCUUUUUUCUUUUCACUUUUGUACUCUUUUCUCCUUCGACGAAGACGAAGAGAAGCCCCCCACUCGGUUCUAAAGCCUCGCAUUUUAUAAUGAAAGCACUCAAAGUUGUUUUUGCAAAUGAGAUAUUCACUCAACGACUCCAACAAUAAAAGGGCUCCAAAAUCAAAUAAAAACUGAUUUUUUUUUAAUUUUGAAAUGAAGAUAUCUUUUCAACAAAAAGUUUCCAAAACCGAAUUUCUGUUUUAUUUAUUAUUUUCUAAAAUAUUAGGUGUCAACACAAGGAAACAGCCUACUUUGAAUGAUCGACUCACAAGUAAGGUCAAUUGGCCUAAUGAUGUCUCCACAAAUUAGAUUAUCGAUAGUGGCACCUCUAAACAUAUGAUAAGACGGUUUUUUCUUCUAAAUCAACCGAGAAACAACACAGGUGGAUUUCCUAUAUGAAUUGGGGAUGAACAAAAGAAUUUUAUCACCUGGACUACUCGAAACUAGAACGGGCCAGAAUCGGAAACGGUAGUUCGUAAGGGAGAAGAUUUGGUUCUCGGUUGCAAUUUGGUGAAAACAGUGAGUACCAAUUUGGUUCCCGGUUCUAGGUGUGGAACCACUCAUUCACUCACUCGAACAUGACUCAUAUAUAUAUCUUUAAAAAGAAAAAGAAAUUCUAUCACAAUUACUUAAUUAUUUUGUAGCCGUCGACCUGACACACACACACACACAUAUACACAUUUAUGUAUAUUUGUAGUUAUUAGACAUUAUUGACUAAUUUUGUCUAUUGGGUGUAUGAUAGGAUUAACUCCUUACAAAUUUUUUUCUACUCUAACAAUCCAUUUACUUACUUUCUAAACCAAAACAAAAUAAACAAACGAAGAGGAAGGAGAAGACCAGUUGGAGAUGCCCAUAAAUGUUGCUUUACCAUCAUGAUAUGAAAUUAAGAGCCAACAACUCAUUUCAAGAGCAUAAUUAAAUCUCUCAUUAGCCAUCCCCAUGAUUAAAUUAGAUUGAUGCUAAAAAAAUGAUUAGAACAAUUAAUGUUUUAACUUAUGUGGAAGUUAAGAUUUUUAAAGUAGAGUUUAAUUCUUAGCAUGUUCCCAGUGUCAGGAAAUCCCAAGAGGACCAUAACAUAACCUUUAAAGAAAUUAAGCUUCUAUCUAAUGAGUAUUGUCCAUUCAUUUCGCCCUAUAAUUUUCAAUCCUUAAUUAAAAUCAAUGGCUUACAAUUCAACCCAAAUAUAAUGUCGAACAAGUUUUGGUGCUCUAAAACAAAAACUAGGUUCAACCUAAUAUUAAUUGAUCAAUGCAAUUUUAUAAGUUUUAGGGACCGAUUUCAUGGACCCUCUGGGGAACUAGAUCGGACCGACAGUCUGAUUCCCGAGUGGAUCCAAGGAACCAACGAGUGAUUUCCGAUUCCAAUUUUUUGGAAUCGGUCCUUAGUGGAUAGUUUUCUAUUCUACAGUUGAAACCACCCACCCAUACCAUGCUCACCCCUAAUAUGAACUCCUUAUGGAAAAGUGAUUCAUGCUAUUAAGAGAGGCAAUGUUCAUUUAAGCCCUAAUUAUUUUGCAUGAUAUGCUAUAUGUUCCAAACUUUCAGUACAAUCUUAUUUCUGUUAGAAAAUUGAGUUUAGAUUUGCAAUGCUCAAUAAUAUUGUUCUCUUCUCAACAUGUCAUACAAGAUCUAUCCUCAAAGAGAUUGAUUGGAGUGGGUAAUCUUUAAUAAGGGGUUUAUUAUCUUGGAUGCGUGGGCAGCAUUUGGGUUUCCAUCUUUGUAUACAAAGGGAAGCACUACCAUGGAGCCGCUUUUCGUCUCAUUUGGAUAAAGGAAGUCAGAGUUUCUGACAUAAAUUGAAAAUAUCGAGAGGUUGAAAAACAAAUCAUUUAUGGUUCCAUUUGUAGAUUGCAAAUUGCACCAUUUUUAACUCAAGACUUGUUCAAUCAAUCGAAAACUUAACUAGAUAAGUUCCAUUCAUUCUCGACAGCUUCUACGUCUUAAUUCAUCGGUUGAAGUAAUCUUUAACCCUCUGAUGAAAUUCAGAGCAAAGUCGAUUGACAUAUAGUAAGUUGUGAAGUUCAUCCUUUUCAACAUGAAGAAAUAAUAUUAAAUAAACUUUAAGAAGGCAGCAAAGUCAAAAUAGCUGUCUCCAAGAUGUAACCUGCUUCCUAAUCUUGAUCUUGAGUAAGAUCUGGUCCCUUCUUGUCCUCUUCUUGCCUUGCUUAGUUUCUUCAAGGUACUUUUUGCAGCAUAAAAUUGCAAUUUGCUUACCGAUAAAAGCUUGACUCUAUAUCAAUGACGAGCUGAUUAUACUUAUUAUUCUAUUUGUAUCAUGAAAAAUAAAUAUUUAGAAAAAUAUUUUCUUAAAAUGAAAUCAAAAAUAUAUUUCUUUAUCGACAACUUUUUAUAUCUAAAUAUUUUAUAUGUAAUGAAAAUAUUUUUCAUUCACUUAAUUUUAUAAAUAAUAAAAGCGGAUUUGAUGGAAUCCAAGUACAUAAAUAAUCGAGAAAUGGAAAAUGGAGGAGUCGGUGAGGAACUGGAAGGUACUAGAAAGAGGGAAACGACUGCCAGUCAAGCUGAUAGUAAUAAUAAUUAUAUCUCUCGUUCGUGUGACACCUAAGCCAUGACCUCAUCGGCUUGGGCAUCUUAUGCUCCAGCGUGUCAAACAAGAAGGCAGUGACAGCACGAAACGUGUCUCGUGGGACCCACGAUUUCAGGAGUGGAGACUUGAGAUCUGGAAUGACGCGAGCAAUGACCAUAUCGAGCCGCCUCUCCACCCACCCUGCGGCCAAAUAAAAGUCACAUCGUCAAAAUCCCGCCAAAAUCCUCUUUCCCUCUACAUAAGUGGCACCCGAGUUAGCCUGAUUUCACCGCGGACAGCAUUCUUCAUUUCAGUUCAAAUUAGCAAAAGCUUCAGCUUGUAGCUACAAAUUCAAUGGCGGAGGAAGUGAUUUUGUUGGACUUCUGGUCGAGCCCGUUCGGGAUGAGGGCCAGGAUUGCCCUGCGUGAGAAGGGCGUGGAGUUCGACUGGAGGGAGGAGGACCUGAGCAACAAGAGCCCCCUGCUCUUGAAGAUGAACCCAGUCCACAAGAAGAUCCCCGUCCUCAUCCACAAUGGUAAGCCCGUUUGCGAGUCCCUCAUCAUGGUCCAGUACAUCGACGAGAC